rnacentral:rRNA from 1 species
CCUACGGGUGGCUGCAGUGAGGCAUAUUGGUCAAUGGACGAGAGUCUGAACCAGCCAAGUAGCGUGCAGGAUGACUGCCCUAUGGGUUGUAAACUUCUUUUAUAUGGGAAUAAAAUGUUCCACGUGUGGGAUUUUGUAUGUACCAUCUGAAUAAGGAUCGGCUAACUCCGUGCCAGCAGCCGCGGUAAUACGGAGGAUCCGAGCGUUAUCCGGAUUUAUUGGGUUUAAAGGGAGCGUAGGUGGAUUGAUAAGUAAGUGGUGAAAGUUUGAGGCUCAACCGGAAAAUUGCAGUUGAAACUGGCAGUCUAGAGAACAGUAGAGGUGGGCGGAAGUCGUGGUGUAGCGGUGAAAUGCUUAGAGAUCACGAAGAACUCCGAUUGCGAAGGCAGUUCACUGGACUGCAACUGACACUGAGGCUCGAAAGUGUGGGUAUCAAACAGGAUUAGAUACCCGAGUAGUC